rnacentral:rRNA from 1 species
CCUACGGGUGGCUGCAGUGGGGAAUUUUGGACAAUGGGCGCAAGCCUGAUCCAGCCAUGCCGCGUGAGUGAAGAAGGCCUUCGGGUUGUAAAGCUCUUUCAGCUGGAAAGAAAACUUCCGGAUCAAUACCCCGGGAGGAUGACGGUACCAGCAGAAGAAGCACCGGCUAACUACGUGCCAGCAGCCGCGGUAAUACGUAGGGUGCGAGCGUUAAUCGGAAUUACUGGGCGUAAAGCGUGCGCAGGCGGUGAUGUAAGACAGAUGUGAAAUCCCCG